rnacentral:rRNA from 1 species
GACGAACGCUGGCGGCGUGGAUUAGGCAUGCAAGUCGAACGGUAUCAUCCUUUCGGGGGUGAGAGAGUGGCGAACUUGGUGAGUAACACGUAGGUUAUCUACCCUCAAGACGGGGACAACCCAGGGAAACUUGGGCUAAUACCGGAUGUGAGCAACUUUUAGUUGUUUGAAAGGUGGCGUAAGCUGUCGCUUGGGGAUGAGCCUGCGUCCUAUUAGUUAGUUGGUGAGGUAACGGCUCACCUAGGCAAUGAUAGGUAGGCGGCCUUAACGGGUGGUCGCCCACACUGGGAUUGAGAUACGGCCCAGACUCCUACGGGAGGCAGCAGUCGAGAAUAGUCUACAAUGGGUCGGAAGACUGAUAGUGCGACGCCGACGUGAACGAUGAAUCCCUUCGGGGUGUAAAGUUCUUUUAAUUGUGAGCAGUGCUUCUUAUAUUAACAGUAUGGGGAGAGGUAGAUAUUAGCAUAUGAAAUAGACAACGGCUAACUCCGUGCCAGCCAGCCGCGGUAAACUCGU